AGUAGGCGGGACUUCCGGCCGGCUCUUCCAUCGGCUGCCUUUCCCGGGCGUCUCCCCGCAACCUCCUCGACUUCCCUAGUCCGUGACGCGGCGCCGGGUAGGAAUCCGAGCGGAGCGGGCUCGGGGAGCGUGAGCCGCGGGUGUGCGCCUCUCCGUGCGUCUCCGAGAGGACACUCUGUGGGGCUGGGACCGCGGGGCCACCGUGACCGAGGAAGAGCGUUAAAAGAAGAUGGAUGCACAGUGUUCAGCCAAGGUCAAUGCAAGGAAGAGGAGGAAAGAGGCGCCUGGACCCAACGGGGCAACAGAGGAAGAUGGGGUUCCUUUCAAAGUGCAGCGCUGUGCAGUAGGCUUACGGAAACCAGCUCCUUUUUCUGAUGAAAUUGAAGUUGACUUUAGUAAGCCCUAUGUCAGGGUAACUAUGGAGGAAGCCAGCAGAGGAACUCCUUGUGAGCGACCUGUGAGAGUUUAUGCUGAUGGAAUAUUUGACUUAUUUCACUCUGGUCAUGCCCGAGCUCUGAUGCAAGCAAAGAACCUUUUCCCUAAUACGUACCUCAUUGUGGGAGUUUGCAGCGAUGAGCUCACACACAACUUCAAAGGCUUCACGGUGAUGAAUGAGAACGAGCGCUAUGACGCAGUCCAGCACUGCCGGUACGUGGAUGAGGUAGUGAGGAAUGCGCCCUGGACCCUGACACCUGAGUUCCUGGCCGAACACCGGAUUGAUUUUGUAGCCCAUGAUGAUAUCCCUUAUUCAUCUGCUGGAAGUGAUGAUGUUUAUAAGCACAUCAAGGAGGCAGGCAUGUUUGCUCCAACACAGAGGACAGAAGGCAUCUCCACGUCAGACAUCAUCACCCGGAUCGUGCGGGACUACGACGUGUAUGCGAGGCGGAACCUGCAGCGGGGCUACACGGCAAAGGAGCUCAAUGUCAGCUUCAUCAACGAGAAGAAAUACCACUUGCAGGAGAGGGUUGACAAAGUAAAGAAGAAAGUGAAAGACGUGGAGGAAAAGUCCAAAGAAUUUGUUCAGAAGGUGGAGGAGAAAAGCAUUGACCUCAUUCAGAAGUGGGAGGAGAAGUCCCGAGAAUUCAUUGGAAGUUUUCUGGAAAUGUUUGGUCCGGAAGGAGCACUGAAACACAUGCUGAAAGAGGGGAAGGGCCGGAUGCUGCAGGCCAUCAGUCCAAAGCAGAGCCCCAGCAGCAGCCCUACUCGCGAGCGCUCCCCCUCCCCCUCUUUUCGAUGGCCCUUCUCUGGCAAGACUUCCCCACCUUGUUCCCCAGCAAAUCUCUCCAGGCACAAGGCUGCAGCCUAUGAUAUCAGUGAGGAUGAAGAAGACUAAUUUUUCCUCCCUCCUUUCCUCUCCUCUCCCUCUGUCCCAUUACCUUCAAAGCUCUCUGUUGAAUUCCAGACUGUGACCCCAACACUAAACAGCUACAAAGGAAAGACAACUGGGGCAAGAGGACCUAGGACUGGGGAAACCAGAACAGCCUGUCCUCCAAGUGACAUCACUCACCCACACGAAGGAGGGGGCUGCACCUUAGAAGCCUGCUCUGCAUCCAUUUACCCUCCCCGAGGGCUUUGUUUCACUGUUUAUGUUCACGUGAUCUCAACAGGGAAAUCGUCAUUUUUAUUAAGUUUUUUUAAAAUUAGUCUUUCAAAUGUAGAACUAAUUUUUUGCCCGAGGAGUGGGCAGAAGAAGGAGGUAGUGUAAUACGCAGAGGCCUUUUCUUCCCAGUACACUAUAGCAUUUGCCUUCCGUUCUGAAGUGAAGUGGCUUGCCAAGUCCUUCACAAAAUGAGCCAUGCUGGUGGGUAAUCUGUGGAGAAAUAUCUUAAUUCUGAUUUCCUUAAGAAAAAGCUAAAAGCCGAGUUACAGUCACAAAUCCCCUCAACGUACUGCUGUCACCAGUGUCAUUGUGGCUGUAGGAAGGAGAUCUGAGCCUAACUUGUCUUACUCCCUGAGGAGUUUCUUACUGGACCCAGUGGGGCCCAUGAAGACACUGACGGGGAUACUGGAAGCAGACCCAUGGCAUCAGCUGCAGUGUUUCUGCUGUGUUCAUCUUCUCAGAAAAUUCUGUGACCCGCUUCUCUGGGAGCUUUUGUGAGUCUCUUUCCUGCCAUCUACCUUCAAAGGAAGGAACACUUUUCGGGUUACGAGGAUGAGGAGAGGAGCGGGACAAUACUCAGUCCCAUGCCAAGUCAGUUGAGAUUUGUUUCCUACUGGGAGGAGUGCCUGGCCCUGCUACUCCUAUUUGAAUGUUAUUAAUGUUACCUAGCCUUUUGCAGAGGAUACUUUGUAAAUGUCUGCCAUCGGAACUUGAUGUCAAUCCCUUUUGGUCAUAGCCAUAUUGAAUAGAGAGAUUUGCACAGAAUGUAGAAGCAAAAGCAUAGGAAACACCUUCCUUUCUGAAGCAACAGCCUCAUCAUCUUGACCUCUGUCCCUCUUAAGAACAUUCUUCACCGGAACCAGAGCUCCACAGAGUCUUUCUUUUCCUCGGAGAGCCGUGGCUGGCAGGGACCUCCCUCCGCCGCCCCUCCAGCAAGCCACAGAACAUGCCCUCACGGGACAAGAUGUGAAUAGACUGCCAUGGGAUAAAGAGUGGUCCCUAGCUUCUAUUUUUCCAAGUAAAUAAGUAGAACAUGUUCUUGGGAUUAUACCAUUAAAUGUUAAUUUUCUUGAAGAAGAAAGAUUGUUGUCUGCCAGGAUUUUAUGUUAGCACUCGGAUUGAGGCAGAAAACGGAAGCACCAAGUUUAACACUGGGAUGGCGCGGGUUGUGUUCCUGGAGGUUUGAAGUGGGCCUUCCUGCCUUUUGAGGGGAAAACUGACUGUUUUGAACAUAUCCUGGAUUAGUUGGGUUGUUUUGUAUUGAGGAUCCCUAGAAGACAAGAGAGUCUUGGAAAGGGCUGCUGGCUUCGUCGUGAACGUUCGUCCCAUCACCAGUGUGAGUCCGCGGGGAAGUUUUCCUCAAGUGGGGUUCAGUCUCUAAUUUUCCUGUCUGUUAUUAGUUUGUUCUGAGUUAUUUUGGAUUUUGUUCUUUAGCCAAAUAAAGGCAAUGUGGUCUUACCUCA